GUGAACGCUGGCGGUAGGCCUAACACAUGCAAGUCGAACGGCAGCACAGUAAGAGCUUGCUCUUACGGGUGGCGAGUGGCGGACGGGUGAGGAAUACAUCGGAAUCUACUUUUUCGUGGGGGAUAACGUAGGGAAACUUACGCUAAUACCGCAUACGACCUACGGGUGAAAGCAGGGGAUCUUCGGACCUUGCGCGGUUGAAUGAGCCGAUGUCGGAUUAGCUAGUUGGCGGGGUAAAGGCCCACCAAGGCGACGAUCCGUAGCUGGUCUGAGAGGAUGAUCAGCCACACUGGAACUGAGACACGGUCCAGACUCCUACGGGAGGCAGCGGUGGGGAAUAUUGGACAAUGGGCGCAAGCCUGAUCCAGCCAUACCGCGUGGGUGAAGAAGGCCUUCGGGUUGUAAAGCCCUUUUGUUGGGAAAGAAAAGCAGCAGGUUAAUACCCCGCUGUUCUGACGGUACCCAAAGAAUAAGCACCGGCUAACUUCGUG
rnacentral:rRNA from 1 species